rnacentral:rRNA from 1 species
UAAAACCAGCUCUUCAAGUGGUCGGGAUUUUAUUGGGCUUAAAGUGUCCGUAGCCGGUUUAGAAAGUUCCUGGUCAAAUCUGGCAGCUUAACUGUCAGGUCGCUAGGAAUACUACUUUACUAGAGGGUGGGAGAGGUCAGAGGUACUCCAGGGGUAGCGGUGAAAUGCGAUAAUCCUUGGGGGACCACCAGUGGCGAAGGCGUCUGACUGGAACACGCCUGACGGUGAGGGACGAAAGCCAGGGGAGCGAACGGGAUUAGAUACCCCGGUAGUCCUGGCUGUAAACGAUGCGUGCUGGGUGUUGGUAGGGCUAUGAGCCGUAUCAGUGCCGUAGGAAAACUGUUAAGCGCGCCGCCUGGGAAGUACGCUCGCAAGAGUG